rnacentral:rRNA from 1 species
AUUCAACGCCGGACAACUCACCAGGAGCGACGGUUACAUGAAGGCCAGGUCGCGACCUUGCCUGAUUUUCCGAGAGGUGGUGCAUGGCCGUCGUCAGUUCGUACCGUAGGGCGUUCUCUUAAGUGAGAUAACGAACGAGACCCUCGCUGCUAAUUGCAAACUCUUCCGCGAGGAAGAGUGCACAUUAUCGGGACCGCUGGUGCUAAAUCAGAGGAAGGAGAGGUCAACGGUAGGUCAGUAUGCCCCGAAUCUCCUGGGCUACACGCGCGCUACAAAGGACAGGACAAUGGGCUCCAAUGCCGAAAGGCAACGGCAAUCCCGAAACCUGUCCGUAGUUCGGAUUGAGGGCUGUAACUCGCCCUCAUGAAGCUGGAUUCCGUAGUAAUCGCGAGUCAACAUCUCGCGGUGAAUAUGCCCCUGCUCCUUGCACACACCGCCCGUCAAACCAUCCGAGUUGGGUCCAAGUGAUGUUGUCUCUUAUUGGGACGAUAGAACUUGGGUUCAGCAAGGGGGGUUAAGUCGUAACAAGGUAUCUGUAGGUGAACCUGCAGAAGGAUCA